rnacentral:rRNA from 1 species
UACGUAGGGGCCGAGCGUUGUCCGGAGUUAUUGGGCGUAAAGCGCGCGCAGGCGGCUUGGCGCGCCCGACGUGAAAGCCCCCGGCUUAACCGGGGAGGGUCGUCGGGUACGGCCAGGCUUGAGGGCGGGAGAGGGUGGUGGAAUUCCCGGUGUAGUGGUGAAAUGCGUAGAGAUCGGGAGGAACACCUGUGGCGAAGGCGGCCACCUGGGCCGACCCUGACGCUGAGACGCGAAAGCGUGGGGAGCGAACAGG